AAAAUAUUGCCUGAUAUUAAGAUUUAUUACAAAAUUACAUUAAGCAAUAAAGCAUGGCAUUGGCAUGUGCCUGGGUGCUGUCACUUCAGUUGUAUCGGACUCUGCGAUCCCAUGGACCCACCAGGCUCCUCUGUCCAUGGGGAUUCUCCAGGCAAGAAUACUCCAGGAGGUUGCCAUGCCCUCCUCCAGGGUAUCUUCCGGACGCAAGGAUCAAACCAGCGUCUCUUAGGUCGCCUGCAUUGGCAGGCGGGUUCUCUACCGCUAGCGCCACUCGAGAAGCGCCGCCUGAAAAAAAAAACUCCCUACGGCCGCGGCAGUGGUGACCACGCGAGGGGCGGCGUCCCAGCCCCCGGGGGCGGUGCAGUCCGGGGGAGACUGGAGGGCGAGCCCGACCUCCCAGACCCCAAGGUAGACGGGCGACGCCCCUCGCCCCCACCCAGGGCUCUUGAAACCUCCGCGCCGGGACGCGCUAGGUACCUGGAAAGGGGCAGGCGGAGGAGGCGGGGGCGUGGUGCCCCACGGGCCCGCGGCCCAGACCCUGACCACCGCGGCCGCCCGCGGGCCUCGGCGCUACCAGCCCGUGACGCGGGGCCUGCCCGGCGCUGGCCAACAGCCACCUGGAGUCCCUACAGCCGCCGCCACCACCCCCGACGACCUCCCCGCCCCCUGUUUCCCCCGAAAAGGAGCAGAACCCCCCUUGCGCCCAGACGGCACCCUCCUCUUCCCCCACAGCCGUGGCCCUUCCCCGCACCCACGUCCCAGGCACCCUUCCCCCGCCACCGAGGGCAGAAGAACGCUCCGACGGGAAGCGUGGCGCAGUCGAGUAGGGCACAACAGAGGAAAGGCGCGAGAGAGCCGGCCGGCCGGCCGGUCGGAGGGCGGGGAGAGGCGCCUGGCGACCUGGCGGAGAGCAGAGCAAAGGACAAGCGACCACCGGCUGGGAAGACUGGUCCAGGGCCGGCGGCGACCGGCAGCCGAGCGGCCCCGCCCCACAGCCCGCGAGACGCACCGGAGGCUCCGGACUGUGCCGUCGCGACCUGGGGCAGUCGUGGCCAAAGGUGCGUAGCAGGAGGAACCUCGGCCCCCCAGCCUCGAGGCUUGAUUUUCGGAGAAGACAACGGGCCAAGUUUGAUUGUCAUCUUUGCAGCUACAAGUAAGGCAUGAAAUCUGUAAAUGAGAAUUGACAUCUUUACAAUGAUGUAUAUCCCAUCAGUAAGUAUGAAAUACUGCCCCAUUUAUCUGAGACUUACUUUACCUGAAUUUAUCAGUAAACUUUUAUAGUUGCCUCCAUAAAGAUCUAAAAUGUUUUUGUGAUGAUUCUUUUAAGGUACUUUUUGGAUUUUAUUGCUGUUGUGAAUGGGAUAUUUUCGAUUACAUGUUCUAAUCAGUUACUGCUUUUAUGUGACAAGCCUCUGUCUUUUGCUAUAGUGAAUUUAUACUUUCUGAGGUUUCUUGUUCAUUUGAAUAUUCCACAUGCUUAUUCUUUAGAAUUUUCUACACAGGUAAUAUCACCAAAUAGUAUAACUUUCUUUUCAAUAUUCAUACCUCUUAUUUAUUUUGAUAUCCACAGUUCUGACUUUGUAUUCCAGUAUCAUUUUAAAUGAUAAAGAUGAUAGCAUGUAUCUAUUUAUUUUCCCUGACUUUAAUGGAAAUGCUUCUACUAUUUCACAUUAAAGCAUAUUUGUUGUAGAUCUAGGGGGAUGGAAGGUCCCUUGUAACCUUAGUUUGCUAAAAGAAUUCCCAUGAACUUGCAUUGAAAUUUUCUAUUAUUUUUUAAAAAUAUACCCAUUGAAGUAAUGAAAUGGUUUUCUUUUGUUAUGGGCUGAAUUGUGUACCCCCAGAAUUCAUAUGUUGAAGUCCUAAACCUCAGCAAUUCAGAAUGUGACUGAAUUUGGAGAUAGGGCCUUUAAAGGGAAAACUGAGGUAAAAUGAGGUCAUAAGGAUGGGGCCUAAUCCAAUAUGACUGGAGUUCUUAUAAGAAGAAGGGAUGAGGAAACAGAUGCACAUAAAGAGAGACAGAAAGAGAAGACAGUCAUCUACAAGCUGAAGAAAGUGAUCUCAGGAGAAACCAAUCCUGCCAACAUAUGGAUAGUAGACUUGUAGCCUGCAGAAUUAUAAGGAAAUAAAUUUCUAUUGUUUAAGCCACC
ensembl:lincRNA